GAUUGACCUUUGGGUCGUUUUCGAACACACACACACACCGUGAACCGUUUCCCCACGUCUCUCGGGACGGGGGAUUACCACCUUAAACAUUGUAUACCAGAACGUCAAUUUGAUAAAAACAAACAAAACUUUCAACAACGGAUCUCUUGGCUCU
rnacentral:misc_RNA from 1 species